UGGGGCGUCGCCAAGUGGUAAGGCACCAGGUUUUGGUCCUGGCAUUCAGGAGUUCGAAUCUCUUCGCCCCAGCCA
rnacentral:tRNA from 1 species